GUUGGAUUGCGCGCGGCUGAGGUGGUGGCGAAAAGCCGGCCAGGCUGCAUCUGUGUCUCGUCCCGUGCUUCGGGCAAACCUGUCUGCUUGUGUCAGUUUGAUUUCCUGCACCUACCCUGUGGAGUGGCGCUGCCCACGAGAGAGAGGCGCGUCUCUGCUGAAACCCAAAAGUUUUAUAUUCAUGGUUUUAUACAAUAUACCGGAAGCGAGGAGAGGGGCGAAAAAAGUGCCUUCAGUUGCACACACUCCUUUUUUAUGACUCAAAAGGACCGCGUUGUCAUUCAUAAUUACAGCUCACGGCGAAGCUGUCCAGGCGCUUAAGGAGAUGUACCUGCAAAAGGGUUUGAGGAGGCCGUCAGAGGAGAAGAGAACGUAAGACGUUUAUUAUUAGGGACGCCAAGGGAAGACAGCGCCUCAGGAAGGAAGGAGUGGUCAACUGCGUUGAGUGCUGCUAAGAGGUCAAGUCUCAUGGCUCAAUGGAAGAUUAUUGAAACUAAACCUUUGGACACUGGGCCAAUCUAUUUCUUUGAUCAGAUGAAACCAAAAAGGAAAAUAUGGGAUAAGAGAACGUGUAAAGACCAUUUUUCCCAUUUGGGAUGCACUGCAGAAGCUAACUAUCGUCAUACAAAGAGUACAAGAUCUAAAGAACUAGAGAAAGCAAGAAUAUCUACAGUAGCUGAAUCUGAAGAGAAAGAUGAAUCCAACUCAUUUGGCAUCUCGCAAACUCCUAGUGUUUCCAAGUUAUCUACUAAUCUUAAAUUUUCCAAACUACACCUGCAGGAGGCUCUAUUUGAAGAAUACAGACUCACUGCUGCUGAAAUACUGUAUGAACUUGGGGAGACAUUGCAGAAAUAUGCUGAGUAUAACAUAACCUUCCCUGUGGGAAUCUUGUGAAUUACAGUUGGCACGAUCUUACUUCAGGCACUUAUACCUGUACAACCAAAAAAUUCAACACUGAAGAAACACAAUGUCUUGCAAGAUGAUCCCUGUACCAUGACCAUAGUUGACCUAAAGGGAUACAAAAUCAACAGCUGUUCAAGAGAAAAAUGUCAUAAGGAAAAUCACCUGGUUAAAGGAAAAGACCACCAUGUUGCAAGUAAAUCUAUGAAAAAAACAUCUCUUAUUAACCAAAACCAGUGUUCCCAGAUUUCCCAGGAUAGCAGUUCACCUAUUGUCACCCACUUCUCACUGACAUCCAUGAUCUGCUUAGAAAAUGAAAAAUGAAAGAAGCGAUUCAACAAACAACUUAUCCUGAGGGAUUCAACAAACAACUUGUCCUGAGCCACUAUCAUGAUCCUACAGACAAGAAAGAAGUGAACAACAGUCGCCAAAGUUCUCAAUGUUUCUGGCUGGAGCUGCUGAAGAGAAGAAUCAAGUUGCCAAUGGUCAGAGAGGCUGACCCAAGGAUGAAAAAGUUCCAUUAUGCCCUGAUCGAUGGUUCCUCUCUGACAUAAUAUCCUUAUGAAAUGACAAUGGGAAGAAGGAUGGAGGGUGCCAGGCAUGAUGGAAGGGACUGACAGAUGGGG